CUGGGCAAGCAUUCUUAUCACUGAACUUUCCCCUUUCCUCAAACUCUUGGGCUCAAGUGAUCCUUCUGUGAUCUCCCAAGUUCCUUUGCCUAUCUUGAAUUGGGUUGCUCUUUUUUGUUGUUACUGAGUUGUAGGAGUUCUUCAUGUAUCUGCUUAUUACUAUGUUUGCAGAUAUAUAAACUGCACAUGUUUCCUUUCAUACAAAAAUUUCAGGGCUGUUUGUCUAUGCUUUUCUCAAUUUUAGUUUUGAUGAAGGUUGUGUUUUUCUUUCUGUGGGCUGAGCUUUUGGUGUCAUUAUCAAGAACUCAGUUGUUCACUGUUGUGAACUUUUUCCUGUUCUUCUAAGAGUGUUACAGUUUCGUUUUACCUUAUAUUAAGUUCUUUGAUUUAUUUUUUGUAUCGAAUAAGCUUACUACCUUUGUUUUAUCUCCAUGUGGCUAUCUAGUUUUCUCAGUCAUACAGUAGUCCUCUCACCACGAAGUGUUCUUGGUUCCCUUGUUCAAAGUCAGUUAACUGUAUGCAAGAGUUUAUUUUCAGGCUUCGUCCACUGGUCUAUAUGUCUGUCUUUAUACCAAAGCUACCCUGCUUGAUUAGAGCAUUAUAGUAAGUUUUACCCUAUUACUUUUAAUCUUUUCAAUCCCUUGAAGAAGAAAUUCUAUUCCUUAAGCUUUUGAGAAGCUGUGAUUCAGUGUUCUAACUUGGGGAAACAUACCUGAAUUGAAAUGCCAGAUGAGAAAAUGCAUCUCUCUUCAGUUCCCACAGCAUUUCUACUUAGACAUAUUUUCACAUCUCUAUGUAUACUUUUUGUACUAGAAAAUUAGUUUUACUUUUUUUUCUAUUUUAAUUAUUUACUUUAUUACUAUAAAGGUGAUGUACAGAAGGAUUACAAUUACAUGAGUCAGGUAAUGAGCGUACAUUUUCUUUCAUUCAGUGUCUCCCUCCUGUCUCCAGCCACAAGGUAUAUAAUUCACUUUCAUCAGUGUCCAAUGAGCUCUAUUUUAUAAAGCCAAUGAAAACAAAGUAGAAUUUACAAAAAAUCAACUUCUCAGAAUUAUAACUUAGCUAAAGGUUUCUAGCAAUUAGGUACCCUUGAAAAUUAGCAUGUAAUGUUAGCUAUUCAAGUGAUUGAGACCUGAGGAUCAUGGUUUGAAGCCAGCUCAGGUAGAAAAGUACAUGAGAUUCUUGCUUCCAGUUAAUCAGCAAAAAGUAGCAAGUGGAACUGUGGCUUCAGUGGUAGAGUUGCCACCCUUGAGCUUUUAAAAGCUCCUUAAGUUCAAGCCCUGGUACCAGCACACUUCAAAAGUUAGGAGCUCCUCAAGACCAAUUCUUAAAAUCCCUAAAUCAUCUCAAAGAAUUGUCUCAUUUGGCCUGUCUAGCAUCUUACUGUUUAAAAAGCAUUGUUUUCAGGACACACACCCCCCUUUUUUUUGUGCUGGUCCUGGGUGAAGGGAAGGCUAAUAUGGCACAGUGUAAAUUACUGGAGUGUAAGUGUAAAAGGCAUUAUCCCAACCAGAUGCCACCUAAACAAGACUGGGAAAGGUAUAGAUUUAUGACAUUUAAGGAUAUUUGUGUCCAGCUAACAGCUUCCCACAAAGCCAAUGAAGCAAAAUGGUCACAAUAAAGAAUACAUAUUUUACAAAAUUAAUCCAGGAAGGUCACUAAGCAAACAGUAAACACAAACCAGUCUAGCUUUUGACAAAACAAAAGAAAAAGCUUGUAUAACAUAAGAAUCAAGACAUAGUAUCUAUGUGUGAGGAAGCCCAGAUGUUGGACUUAUACAAAAUACUUUUAAGUCUGCUUUAGUAAGCAUACGCAAAUAACUUUUAAAGAAACCAUGGAUGAAGAACUAAAUAUGGAGAGUUACCUCAAUAAAAUAUCUCACUAAAUCAUCCUGAAAACCGUGAUUCAGGAUUCUGAUUUGGGAAAUCAGAGUAAUGGAUCAGAGAGAUGAAUAAU